UAAAUCCCUAUUCUUUGAUUGUGAACAGUGUCAUUCCUUUUCAAAGCGAAGUUUUCAUUUUUAAUUUUCUUUGAGUUUGGUUUCUUUUGAUUUUUACAACUAAUUGUUCAUGAACAAUUAACCGAAAGUUAAAAGAAUUUCUAAGUUUGUGCCAAAAUAUAUUGCCUAAAAAGUGUUUAAAAACUGAUCGAAAGGAAAACAAUACAAAAAUACACAUUAAACAAAACACGGAGAAGAAGCAUAUGUGGUUGCUUCACAAAGAACGAAGAAAGCAACAAACAAAAUUAUUAAAAAUUAGAAAAAAAAACUUGUGUAAAUGUGAAGAAAAGCUACAACAAAUAUAUUCUCUGAGGUCUGCAAAAGAAUUGUGUGUUGCGCUAAAAAAGUGACGACCACCAAGACGAAGAACGACGAAGAGAGAAAACAACAGUAUCAAAGACCACAAACUGCUAAAUUCAAUCAAGAAAAUAAAUAUAAGCUGUUGAGAAAAAAGCUGGAAAAACAUUACUGCAACUUUCAACUACGUCAUACAAGAAACAAUAACAAAUUUCACAUGACAAUCUAAAACAAAAGAAAGAAAGACACAUGAUUCUACUACAGCCAAGAACAACAACAUCAGCUACUACUUCUACUACUACUUCUCAAUAGAAUAUCUAAGAAAAAAGCAAAACAGAGAUUUGUCAGAAGACGACACAGACGAUACAUAGACAAAGAGAAAGAGAGAGAGAGGGAGUAAAAGAGAGUGAGAGAGAGUCAGUAACAGUUGAAUAUGUUUUAUGCACACAUUAUAUUGGCCAAAAAAGGCCCUUUGGCAAGAGUAUGGCUGGCGGCCCAUUGGGACAAAAAAAUCACAAAGGCUCAUGUCUUUGAGACCAACAUUGAGAAAUCCGUCGAGGGCAUUAUGCAGCCCAAGGUCAAGCUGGCGCUGCGCACCUCCGGCCACUUGUUGCUGGGCGUCGUACGCAUCUAUUCGCGCAAAGCCAAAUAUCUGCUGGCCGAUUGUAAUGAGGCCUUUGUAAAGAUAAAAAUGGCAUUUCGUCCGGGCAUGGUUGAUCUGCCGGAGGGACAUCGGGAGGCCAAUGUAAAUGCCAUUACACUACCUGAGGUAUUUCACGACUUUGACACGGCCUUGCCGGAGCUAAACGAUAUCGACAUCGAAGCCCAGUUUGCCAUGAAUCAAUCGCGGGCCGAUGAGAUUACCAUGCGAGAAGACUAUGGCAGCAUGUCGCACUCGUUGCACGACGACGGAUUUGGUGACAUUGGCUUUGGCAGUGACACGCCAGAUAUGAUGCGAGACCACCUAGACUCGCACAUGAAUGAUCAGCUGUUCGAAGAUGAGGUUAUGCCACACAUGGGCCGAGGAGCAGGGGAGGGCAAUGAGGCCAGUAUCAGUCUCAAUGAGCCGAGUCACAUGUCCCAACCCCGUCUGGACAUCGAGGAGGCUGAUGGUUUUGGUGAUGAGUUUGGCCAGCCAGAACUGUUUGGUGAUGAGCUAUUCGGCGAACCGCCACGUUUGGACCCGGAGGUCCAGCAACGCCUUGAAAAUCUACCCAUUAUUGAAGAUUCCGAUGAUGAUCAUUUUGAUGUCAGAGCUCCGUCACCGGCCUCCUCAUGCCAAGGUUCACCGCUGCCGGCCCAUCAUCAAAAUGAAGAUGAACAUGCCCAAAUGGAAACUCCCAACAAACAGGCUCCACCCGAACAAGCCGAUGAAAAUCUCGAACAAUCAACCCUGCUCCAGAACGAGGAGGAAAGUUUUGCCCUAGCCCCCAUUGAGGCUUCGGCCUACAAGGGUGUAACCAAAAAUGCCAAGCGCAAACGUAAACUUAUCGUCGACGAGGUCAAGAAUAUCUCCGGCGAGGAGAUGAAAGCCCAGCUGGCAAAUACCUCAGAUAUUGUAACCAUUCUCGAUUUGGCACCACCCACCAAGCGUCUGAUGUACUGGAAAGAGACCGGAGGUGUGGAGAAGCUAUUCUCACUACCCUCUCGUAUGAUACCGGCCCGUGUGCUCAUGAUCAACUACAAUCGCCAUUUGAUUUCCCGUUUCACACCCCUGGAAGAUUUUACCUGUUUGGGCCCGGCCGACAUGUUGGCUCUCGAUCACAUACAUAAUGAAAACGAAAACGAUUCCAAUGCCAUUAUAACCAAAAAGGGUGGACGUAAACGUAAAUUGGAUGCCAUUACCAAUGAACCAGCCGCAGCCCCAUUGGACACAACCUUAACGCAACAGAAUGUCUCCAUGCCGGAACAGGUGAGAGAACAAGAGAGUAUGGCAAAUGCCACAGCAGAUUCUCUGCGCCUGGAUGUGGCCGGAGUGGGUGGUCAAAACGACUCCACAUUGCCGCCAGCAGAGGCCACCAUCUAUGACAAUUGCCAGCGCAGCCCGAAUCCCAUGUUUGCCCUCAACGACAUUCACAAUUUGGAUAACCUCAACAGUACCCUGCCCAGUGAUUUGGGUAAUCUACAUCAUGAUCUGGACAAUGACCACGAUUUCGAUCACGUCAACAUGACACCGGGUAACUUGCAUCAUGGACAAAUGACACCCCACCAUCCGGAAAUUGAAGCCAUUGAAUCAAUACCAAAUCUCCCUGUAGAUCAAAUAUCCUCCAUUCUCAAAGAGGCAGAAAAUAUGUCACAACAGCAACAACAGAACAAUACCACAACGACAAAUAACCUAGCCUCCAGUCUGGCCUCCGAUUGGAAUGAAUGUCCUCCAUCAAAUGCACAGCAGCAAACACCCGCCGCCACUGCACCCUCCUUUGAAAUUCCCACUGCACCACAGGAAGAACAGCAAGAAAACGAGACCAGUGAACAAUUUGAAGAGCGUGUGCUCAACAAGCGUGCGGCCCAAAUGUUCUAUGCCGUCAAGAAUCGCAUGGUCGCCCAGGAUUGUCUGGUCCUGUCCGAGCUGACGGGCAACAACAGCCGCAAACAGGCCGCCCAGAAAUUCUACUCCCUGUUGGUAUUGAAAAAAUUCCGUGCCCUUAAUAUCACCCAGGAGGGACCCUAUGCGGACAUUGUUAUAACGCGAGGCACUCUCUUCGAUAAUCCUAAGCUAUAAAAACAUUUCAAUUUCAUUUGAUUUAAUUAUCUUUUUGAAUAAUUAUUUUAUUUUCCCCCAACCCUUAAUAUUUUAUUUUAUUUCUUUUUUUUUUUUUUGUUCUUAAUGUAAUUUCUAUUUUUUGACAAAAAUGAGCAUGUUUUAAUAAUAAUAAAAAAAAUGUAAAAGAACAAAAAAA